AUUGAACGCUGGCGGCAUGCCUUACACAUGCAAGUCGAACGGCAGCACGGGUGCUUGCACCUGGUGGCGAGUGGCGAACGGGUGAGUAAUGUAUCGGAACGUACCAUUCAGUGGGGGAUAACGUAGCGAAAGUUACGCUAAUACCGCAUAUUCUCUGAGGAGGAAAGUAGGGGAUCGCAAGACCUUACGCUGAUUGAGCGGCCGAUAUCGGAUUAGCUAGUUGGUGAGGUAAAGGCUCACCAAGGCGACGAUCCGUAGCUGGUCUGAGAGGAUGAUCAGCCACACUGGAACUGAGACACGGUCCAGACUCCUACGGGAGGCAGCAGU
rnacentral:rRNA from 1 species